rnacentral:rRNA from 1 species
GUAGUGACCUGCGGAGGGAUCAUUACAGAGUUCAUGCCCUCCGGGUAGAUCUCCCACCCAUUGCUAUAACUACUCUCGUUGCUUUGGCGGGCCGCUGGGCCCUGCCCGGCCGCCGGCCCCGGCUGGCGCGUGCCCGCCAGAGACCUCACAGACUCUGAAUGUUAGUGUCGUCCGAGUAACUAUAUAAUCGUUAAAACUUUCAACAACGGAUCUCUUGGUUCUGGCAUCGAUGAAGAACGCAGCGAAAUGCGAUAAGUAAUGCGAAUUGCAGAAUUCAGUGAGUCAUCGAAUCUUUGAACGCACAUUGCGCCCUGUGGUAUUCCGCAGGGCAUGCCUGUUCGAGCGUCAUUUCAACCCUCAAGCCUCGCUUGGUGUUGGGCCCUGCCCGCCGCGGCCGGCCCUAAAGACAGUGGCGGCGCCGCCUGGCCCUCAGCGUAGUACAUCUCUCGCUCCAGGGUCCGGCGGCAGCCUGCCAGAACCCCCCAACUCUGUGGUUGACCUCGGAUCAGGUAGGGAUACCCGCUGAACUUAAGCAUAUCAAAA